CCUACGGGUGGCAGCAGUGAGGAAUAUUGGUCAAUGGACGAGAGUCUGAACCAGCCAAGUAGCGUGAAGGAUGACUGCCCUAUGGGUUGUAAACUUCUUUUAUAUAGGAAUAAAAUGUUCCACGUGUGCAAUUUUGUAUGUACCUUAUGAAUAAGGAUCGGCUAACUCCGUGCCAGCAGCCGCGGUAAUACGGAGGAGCCGAGCGUUAUCCGGAUUUAUUGGGUUUAAAGGGAGCGUAGAUGGGUUGUUAAGUCAGUUGUGAAAGUUUGCGGCUCAACCGUAAAAUUGCAAUUGAUACUGGCAGUCUUGAGUACAGUAGAGGUGGGCGGAAUUCGUGGUGUAGCGGUGAAAUGCUUAGAUAUCACGAAGAACCCCGAUUGCGAAGGCAGCUUACUAGACUGUAACUGACACUGAGGCUCGAAAGUGUGGGUAUCAAACAGGAUUAGAUACCCCAGUAGUC
rnacentral:rRNA from 1 species